rnacentral:lncRNA from 1 species
UUGUUUCUAUCACCGUCUACACUCACUUCAUUUUUCAUAUUGCUCACAUUGUCUCAAUUACAUUUUUUGGAUUUUGUCUUAAAAUAUGAUGAAACCGACUGCAAUUGGUAUGUCUCUAUUCAUUUUUUUAGUAUGUUUCCUCGAUAUCACCUAUUUUGAAUUUCUUGAUAUCUCGAUUUUUAGAUACCUCCAUACCUAGAUACCUAAAUAUAUAUGUAAAUCUUCUAAUCUCUUAUACCUAAUCUCCCAAUCUCUAGAUCUCUCAAUCUAGCGAUCUACUGAUAUAACCAUAUGGUGAUAUAUUGAUUUUUUGAUCUACCGAUCGAUAUACCAAUAUCUUAAUUUCUCGAUCUGCCGAUCUCUCGAACUAUAGAUUUAAUGAAUUACCGAUUUACCAAUCUACCCAUUCUACCGAUAUACCGAUCUAUCUAAUCUACCGAUGUAUCGCAUCUAUCAAUCUAUCAAUCUAUUGAUAUUAAUUAAUUAAUAAUUUAUUUUACUAUGUUUCUCUUCAUUACUUGAUGCAUCUAUCUAUCCAUAUAUAAUUGAACUAAUUUUUUUUCCCAAUCAGAUCUCUACUUUGUGGUAUCUAAGAAUAAUAUACACAAGAAAUAAAGAUUUCUUGUUUAUGACUUCACUAUGAACUUUGUAGAGCUGUGGAUUUUAUAUAUGUUCUCAUUCCAAAUAUUAAACAUUGAUUUUGUAGUUUAGUAUCUUUUGUUUUUGUGUACUUGGCUAUGCAGUUUCCUAUAUUGGCUAGUAUUUGCGAUUAAUUCUACAAACAUCACAACAAGAGGGCUGUUGAUGGCAUAUCAAUGUUUUAUUUUCGGGUAACGUAGUUACUUUCUAUAUUUUUCAACAAUAUAUAUAUAUAUAUAUAGACACACACACACACACUUAUGUUUAAUGAAAAAAAAAUUAUAUAUUUAUUUCAAGAAAGCUAUUUGUUUAUUCAAGAAAGUUUAUUCGAUACAACACACUUAAAUGUUAAUAAUAUGGUUGAUUCCUGCUCCAUGGACCAUGAUAUACUAAUGCCUCGUCUCAACUUUUUUAAUAGACCAUGAAUGCUUGGUAAUAUCAAAUUCUUAGACUUUACUCAUUAAUUCUUAGACUUUUUAUAGAUAGCCAAUAUGUAAUCUGUAGUCAAUGGAUGACAUAUUUUUGCUUCGUAAAUUUUUUUGAAAGUUUUUACUAAUAGUAAGAAAAGGUAAAAGAUCUAUUGCUCAACUCAACUUCUUUUCUUAAGAAAAACUUAAAAGUAAGACAAAUAGAGAUAACUUAGUGGUAAAUAUUAUUUUUUAAAAAAAUUAACUUCAAUUCAAAAUUGACAUGAAUUCUUUUAAUUUUAGUCUAUACUUUUCAUUGUAAUAUUUAUUGCUUCAGAGUUUUAUGAAUCUUCUUAAUUUUAAUUUUGAAAAUGUCUCAAAUUAACAUUUCAUUAGAACAUACAAAAUACUCAUAAGGAAAUAGUAUAGUUUACUACAUUAUUGAAGAAAUUAUUUUUUUGAUGAUUUAAUUAUCCACAAAUAAUUGGGCAUCUUGGUUUAAAAAUUGAAACGACAAUUAUUAAUCAUAAAGAAAGAGGGUGUGAAUAUGCUGGUUUGAAAUUGAUAAAAUUUAUCCAAUGAGAUCAUUGAGGACUUGAAGAAAUUAAAGAUCUCCAAAUCCCCCAAAUUUUAUACAAUCUUUAUAUUUAUUUAUUGUUUUAAACAAUUUCUAUGAAUAUGAUUUUUAAAUAAAUUAUAUGAUAAUUUUUGCAAACCAGAUUCAAUAUGAAACUCGAAUCCAGUUGCAUAAUUCUAAUUUCCUUAGUUGGAUCGAUAAUUCCCAGGCACAAGCGAAUGCUUUUCUCUUCAUCUCGAAUUUCUUCGAGACGACCUUCCUCCUAAUAUACCUGUCCUCUAUCUGCUGCAUUGAACAAUCUGGUAACACAACUAUCUUAAUUUUAUUAUUAAUUACACGUAAUUAAUUCUCAUAAUUAAUUCAUGAUUUGAUCUGAACCUUUUUUUUAGUUGUAUUAUGAUCAUUCCUUGUUGGAUCGAUUGGCCAUACAAUUAAUCCUGUUCGGAUAGUUUUUCAACGAAAAAUGGACCGUGUUUGGUUUAGCGGGAGGCAUGAUUCUCAAGGGUGGAAAGAUACUUCCUCUGUAUAUUGUGCACAAACCACAAGCCCAACCCGUCCUUCGACCAAUUGCUAACAAUCAAAAUGCUCCGAUUAUGAUAGACUCCCCAAAUUCAAUCGGAAAUGACAUCGGCUGUGAUGAAGAGAAGCCCAAGAUUUUGGAUCUUUUUUACUAGUUAGGGUUAGUUAAUUAAUUAGAUGUGUGAUAUCUGAAAUUAAACGUGAAAUUGAGAAGAGAGUUUGUAGUGGAGAAAUGGAGGAAGAGUUCAUUCUAGAAGAGUUCAUCGCCCAGAAAGAUGGC